GAUGAAGAACGUAGCGAAAUGCGAUAAGUAGUGUGAAUUGCAGAAUUCAGUGAAUCAUCGAAUCUUUGAACGCACAUUGCGCCCGCCAGUAUUCUGGCGGGCAUGCCUGUCUGAGCGUCAUUUCAACCCUCACGCCCCUAGGGCGUGGUGUUGGGGAUCGGCCAGCGCCCUCGCGGGCGAGGCCGUCCCCUAAAUCUAGUGGCGGACCCGUCGUGGCCUCCCCUGCGAAGUAGUGAUAUUCCGCAUAGGAGAGCGACGAGCCCCUGCCGUUAAACCCCCAACUUUCUCAGGUUGACCUCAGAUCAGGUAGGAAUACCCGCUGAACUUAAGCAUAUCAAUAAGCGGAGGA
rnacentral:misc_RNA from 1 species